CCCAGCAAAAAUCCCCUUUAAUUUUAAUUUAGUAUAUAAGAAGUGUAAAUAAUUUAAACUUCAGUGUAUCCCAGAAUAAGAAUUAUACAAGAUGAAGCUCCUGUUCUUAACUUUCUUGGUCGUCUUAGUAUUUAGCACCUUUGUCAAUUCGGCAUCAAUUGAUGAAGAAGGAGGGAUUUUGACCCGUGUAAGGAGAGCUGGCUGUAAUGAAAGAGACUGUAAAAUUGAUUGCUUGAAAAAUAUAUGGUUCAACAAAGGAAGAUGUGAAAAUGGAGAAUGUGACUGCUAUAGAUAAAUAUUUAAAUAAUAUAUGUAUAUAAAGUACGCAUUUUAAUUUAAAUAAUUUGUCUAAACUGUAAUAUAUUUGUAAGAAAUU